AAAACUCCUGAUUUGGGACAACCCAGAUUCUAAUUGAACCUAAACCGACUUAGAACCAAUGAAAAAUCUCUAGAAUAUGGAAAUACCCGACCUAUCCUAACCCAAAAAAAAAUCUAUCCUUCCCGAUUCAGCCGACACAGCUCCUCCCCCACCUGCGUUUUCCGUUCACCGUCAUUAACCGCCAAACGGACCACCUCUCCUCGCUAACAGCUACAGCGGCCACUGACUUCUCCAUUCCGCCUCCUGUUAUUGCGUCGCAAGCGAGAGAGGGAGCUGCGAUUUCGAUCGACAGCUCGCUUUUCUCUCCUCGUUUCUCUGGUGACUCCAGCACGAUCGGACGACUCCAGCUUCACUCCCGUCAACGGCGUAGCUCCGCACUCUCCCUCUCCAUCGUCGUUCACCUGCUGGCACAGAAAACGCAAGGAACUGCGGUUGCGUUCCGAUCGGGACAGUAGCAGAACCAACCCUGUUCCUUCGUUUUUCCGGCGACACUUGUCCUUAGCCGCGUUUGUGAUCUGAUCUUCUCACUUGCAGCUUCUCCGACCACCAUCUCCUUCACUUUCGACCGAACUAGCAGCGGCACGAAUCGGUUUGGAGAAUAGAUCUAGUUGCCAAUUGUUCUAACCGGAAAUUCUGAUUUCCCAAGCGAUUUACUAUUGGGAAGUAGAUUCUUCUUUGUCUCGGUUAAAGCUCUGUUUCCUUCACUGUAGAGCUAGAAAAGAAAAUUUCCUAAUUUCAAUAAUUAUCUUAUUAUAUAGUUAUAUGUACGAAAACUUAUUUAUAUUUAUCUAUUAGUAAACUCCGCAGUUGUAGGAUUAUAACCGAUACACUUAUGUAGAUAUUUAGUUAUUCAUCUAUGUGAAAGCAUGAGCCAAUUAGCCUAUACUAUGGAUGCUUCGUAUUAUAGUUGAGCUCGAACUAUAAAAUAUUUAAGAUGCUAGAUUUGGGCCAAGAUAUAAUAUAAUUAUGAGAUUUUAUUA